CAGACUGUUCCUGAAAGCGCUUGGGGGGAGACGGAAUCUUUCCUUUGGGGUGGCAUCUUGCCAAUAAUGGAGCAUUUAAACGAGAGGAAAACAACCCGAAAUGCCGCCUUGAAUCUAUUUUCUGCAACCGCCUAGCUUCAUCAGUGCUGGGCUUGAACCUAUCUGUGCAUAUUGUGGAAAUUGGUAGGGCAGACACCAGAAGUCAAUUGCAAAAGGAACUGCUGAACUUCUGAGAACUCAUCUUAACGGAGGAGGGAGUCAAGCAGACAACCGAAGCUUAACGACUGCUUCAGUGGAUGACGAAUCCUUGGAACUCCUUCGUCCUUCAUUCUCAGUGAUGUCACGUGUCCUCAACGUUUCAUUCUGAUGAUGACGAUUUUCAAUCCUGCAGCAAGGAUAAAACAAGAGUACAGUGAAGACCCACCACAUAGGUCCAGAAAACAUUUCUUCAUGGUUUUUUAUUGUCGAAUGCAUCACAUCUGGCUAAUUUCACGUCGCCCAGUAGGACAAAAUAGGUCUUGGAGCUAAGUAUCGGCAGUAUACCUCGGUAACCUACAACCUGAAGAUGUCCUGCGUCCUCCGCAAGUGAGAGUCACCCAAAAUCAGCACGUUAUCACCAUUCUGGCGGACUCAUCUCACCGAUCCUAUGAAAUUACUGUGACAACCAGUGGAAGUGAUUUGCUAUUCUGGCCGCCCUACUGGACCGAUGUCCUGGCUGCCGAACUCUGGGACAACCAUUGUAUAACUUGUCUUUUAACCUUUUAAGGU